UAAUUACUAGUUUUAAAUUUAUUUCUGUGAUAAUCUAGUUGUUUUACUGUCAUUUGCAGACAGGUAAGUAUAUAUGCUAACUUUCUUUUUAUUUAUUUAUAUAUAUACAAC